UGUAUAGCACAGAGAACUCUACUCAAUAUUCUGUGAUGGUCUCUGUGGGAAAAGAAUCUGAAAAUGGAUGUGUGUCCAUGUAUAACUGAAUCGCUUUGUUGUACAGCAGGUAUUAUCACAACCUUGUAGAUAAACUAUACGUCAAUAAAACUUUAAAAAAAGGAAAAAACAAAAGCAACCAAAAACGCUCCAGCCCUUGACAGUUGCCAAAGCCCCUGGUUCUGUGGGGCCAGGUUGCCGGGGCGUGGGAAGGGCACUGAGAGGGCGUGGAAGGGGCGUCCCAGAGAAAUGGAGCCAAGGUCACAAUUCCGCUCAAGGCAGGUGCAGCCUUGGUGCUGGGAGAACCGGACGUGUUUUUCAGUCAAAGCCGUUCGUUCUCUAAGGCCGAACCUGCGCCGUGUCAGUGAAGUGGAAUUUGAUCCAUGUAGACAGCUGAUCUGGACGUUUUUGGCCAGGAUUAUUUGUUUGGCUGUCUCCACUGAUCAAAUUAACUGGAUAAUUGCCAAGCCUCUUCUCAGUUGUGCUCCCUUAGGCAGCUGGUGCGGCCAGCAGGAUGGGGUGGGCCUCCCAGGACAAGCCAGAUUAGGGCAUUAGCACACGCUUGCUACCUGGGCGGCUCAGGGAACCAGCCAUUUAAUCAGGGUGAGAAGGGAGGGCCUGGGUGGGAGGAAGCAGGUGACGGAUGGGCCUCAGGUCGCCCGGCUUCCCAGGCAGAGAGAUGGAGGCGCGACGCAGCCUGGAUCGCCCCACGCAGCCCUCGGGACAGCAGACGCGACGGUGUGUGGACUGGAUCAGGGACCUGCCCUAAUUCCCUUCCCACUCACUGUGCCGUGUGAGUGUAUCAGAGGCUCUUCUCGCUAAGCAGUCUGUGUGCCAGGAGAUGAGUGUCUUCAACUCUGGGGCCAAGAAAAGCUUAAAAGAGGCUGCGAAAAAGGCGGGGAAAGAGGUUGUCUUUCUCUUGCCUCCCUCUUGGGGUGGCUGGGACCCAGGCUCCCACGAGCACGCUUUGGGCCUUGCUGGGCACCCUGAGUGUUUUGCACGUGCCCGGCCGCCUCCGCUGAUGGGUGGCUUCUCUAAGAGCACGAGUCUCUCCCGGUUUUUGCAGCACCUAGUGUGUAAUCAGCAGUCCGGUGUGUAAUCAGCACUUACUGAGCUGGUUGGUCCAUUGCUUAAUUCAGUAAGAUGUACUGAGCACUCAUCAUAUCCUUGUGUUCUUAGGGGAGAACAAAGAGAAAACAAGCCUCAUUUAGGAGGAGCCCCCCGUUUUCUUGGGGUGACCAGUGAUCUUGGUCCAAGAUGGCAAGAGGGACGGUAGCUUUGAAUGGAAGUGCUUAGGGGAAUAGAAUGGGGUUGGAGGCCAGCACACUUAGCAAACCACAGCCCAAUAAGGGCUGAGGAAACAAGGGAGGUGUCGUGAGCCUUGUUCAACAGAGGAGCAAACUGAAGUUCAGAGAGAGUAAAUGACUUGCUCAAGGUCAUGCCACUUGCAAGAGUCGGAGCCCCAGUGGAGCCUCAGGCUUACUGGCCCCCUUUGUGUCUCUAGAUUGGCCCUCUUUGAAUGGAUUGCAUCCUGGCCUUCAGUGAGGGGGCAGGGGCCUGGGCUGGAGGACCGCAGGAUGGCUAGAGGGCCGUGAAUUGGAUAAGGAUCUCAAACUUGUGCUCUGAAGUCCGGAGCCAUCUGCAGACGGGUUUGUUAGGUUCAGGUGGUGGUGGUGGUGUUUUAAACCCAACUGAUAGCUGACAAAUCAAGACGUUUCACAUAAAGUUUCUGCUCUCUGGCUUCACUUUGAGAAAGAAGAUCCACAGCUCCCGAGUCACCACGGUUUGCUAGAGGGAGCCCAGCGGUGGCAGGUCUUCUGGUUAUCGCACGGCUCCCGGCUGGUGCUCUCCAGGCAUUUGGAUUUGCGAGUCUGGGGAUGAGGGACCAGAGUGCCGACCCCUCCCCUAGCUCUUAUCCCGGGAUGGUCUGAACGAGCAUGUGCAUUAAGAGAGCUGGACAGGGAGUCAGGAAGCUUGGGCGGGGGCGGGGGUGCCUACACGGGAUCUGGGUCAGAGCGCACUUAACCUCUUCCUCAUUGCAGGCUGGGGUCCUGCUGCGGUUUCAGGGUGGCCCCAGCAUUUCCAUGUGGUGCAAGGAGACAGUGGAAGUGAAAACUCUUCAUAAACUGCUGAUGGAGAACAAAGGCCAGGCAGGUUGUGGUGAUGAGUGAAUGGUGAAGGUGGGUGCUGCGGGGGUGGGGGUGGGGUGUCUGCCUGCACCCCCCACUCCACCCCAAGCCGGGGCCUCCAGCCUGCCUUCACACAGGGCCCCAGGAAGUAGGUGUGGACAAGCAUCUGCCCAGCUUCCGGUCAAGUGACCCAAAUGUUGGCCUUGAGAACCGUCCAACCAGGUUGGAAGGUGGGUGCGGGGGGGGGGGGGAGGGAGCUCGAAGAGGCCUUUCUAUCAACAGAGUCCUGGGUCCCCACACACAUGGGCUGGCGCCGAGGGCCAGGUACAUCUGCACAUGGUCCAUCCUGGCGAGGGGGCUGGGUGUCUGCCUGAGAGUCCAGCUCUGUUCCCCGUGCUCCACAGCAAUUGCCCUCAAACCAUUUCUGUCGGACUCCCUCUCUCGGGAACUUCAGCUUUGUCAUUUAAAAUAGUUUGGGAACUUCAGAUUUAGCUGAGUGUCAGAGCAGUUUAUUUGGUCUGUAGGCGUUUUUGUUUUUAAAAUUCAUGACAAGUUCCUUGCAGCAUGCUUUAUUCUAUUUUCACCACCUGUUCUACCUUGGGGGUGGUUUUAAAAUCUGGGACUAUCUAUCUAUCUGUCUGUUUUUUUUUUAAGUUUCCUUAUUUGCCAUUUAUAUGUGUCUUGCAAACAUACACACGUGCGCACACACAAUGUGAAUUUAAAUAUGGGUAUGUCAGGAAAUAUGUGUAUAUAAAUAUCCCUCUUCUUCUGUGGCUUGAUAGGCUUGGUUGUAAUGUUGAAGGUGUAUGUUUUGUCAGGCUAAUUAUGGAGUUUUAAAUGAUAAAUUGGUAAAACAAAUAAAUACUUGGAAAACCCUUUGCUACUGUUAAGUGCUAUCUUUCUGAACAUUAAUAG
rnacentral:lncRNA from 1 species